AUGCGUAACUCUAUAGCUAUUUUUGAAAACGCGAUUGUUCCGUUCCUUCCAUAUCUUCCACCAGGCACAAAUUAUGUCCUCCCAGAUCAUUCGAGUGUAACUGCAUUGGGCAAACAAGUGCAGGGCUGUUUCUUGCUUGGGUGUUGCACAACUUGCAUAUGGGUGUGUGAGGCCAACCUUUCUUCAAAAGUACAUCAGCCGUGUUGCAUCUUCCUUGGAUGGCUAACCAAGCAUGAAAUUUACACUUUGCUGUCGCUGUCGGCAUUGACUACACCGUCAGGCGUGAGGUGGAUGACGACGCCCGGCUCAAAUCCGACAGGCAGGCCCCAUCAGUCGGCGGCUCACCUUAUCACCCCCGGUCGCACAACCACGUGUGUCCGCUUUACCCACAGGAAAACGCACUUCCUCUGGGCGCCCCCUCUCUCUCGCUUCACGCGAGACAGAGGGAACCCUCGCUGA
rnacentral:rRNA from 1 species